CUACGGGAGGCAGCAGCAGGGAAUAUUGCACAAUGGACGGAAGUCUGAUGCAGCGACGCCGCGUGGAUGAUGAAGGCCCUCGGGUUGUAAAAUCCUUUUCAGGGGGACGAGGAAGGACGGUACCCUUGGAAUAGGCGUCGGCUAACUACGUGCCAGCAGCCGCGGUAAGACGUAGGACGCAAGCGUUAUCCGGAUUUACUGGGCGUAAAGCGUCUGUAGGCGGAAUGGUAAGUUGGACGUGAAAGCUCCGGGCUCAACCCGGAGAGGUCGUUCAAUACUGCCAAACUAGAGGGCAUCAGAGGAGCGUGGAAUUUCCGGUGUAGCGGUAAAAUGCGCAGAUAUCGGAAGGAACACCAAUGGCGAAGGCAGCGCUCUGGGAUGAACCUGACGCUAAGAGACGAAAGCUAGGGGAGCGAACAGGAUUAGAUACCCCUGUAGUC
rnacentral:rRNA from 1 species